AUGUUCUGUCCCCUCCCUCAAAUCAGAAAAGCAUCUUUCUAUCUCUCUCUCCCUUCGAACACUCCCUCUCCCUCUCUCUCUAUACACGGAUCAUCACCAAAGUUCAUCAAAUCUUCAUAGAUCGAGGAAACAAAGAUCACCAUCGUGUUCAUCUCGUCAAUACGAGUUCAUCCAUACUAGUUUCAGGAGUUUUUAAGCUCAUAGUGAGCUUAAGGAGGUUCUUAGGAAGCUCGGAGUGCUUCGUUGGAAGUUUUGGAUGCCAAAAACACAGAGAUCGGAAAGUUCAAAGUUUGGCCGGAACUUUCGAGGCGUUUUACGGCCAAACCACGGAGAGUUAGAUGUCGUGCGAGUUUCCGGCGAGUCCGACGGCUUUCGAGGCUUUUUCCGGUGAAUUCCCGGCGAGUUAAGGGUCGAGACAGGUAUAUAUGUGUUCGUCUCGUCAAUAUCUUCAUUUUUAUAUAAAGUACGUUGAAAAUGGUGAAGAAAUGACAAAGUUAUGGCAAUUUGAAAAACUGCCCAGAAACCGGCGAAAAAAGUCUGGCGAGCCGAGGAAGAAGGAAAACCCGAAGUUUUUCGUUCAAGAACCGUGGCCUUUUAGUCACUUUCAAACCAUUUUUCUGGUCAACCUCGACCACAACUGAACUUCUUCUAGGGGAAACUUAUUCCGAGGAUUUUCGAGGCCAAGCUAGGCUCGGGGGCUACGACCCAACGACGUACGUACUUGACCUAAAUAAUUGUACUCUCUGUGGCAUUCGAGGAAUCACGACAGUUCUGACAUUUCCUUCUGUUUAGACGUACGAACUUAUCACUACUAUGUAAUAAGUGUACUUUGGGUUGCUUUGACUACUCUUUCGUAGUCUCACUGUCUAUUACGCUUUGAAUAAUUGUAGUGGGUUCAACCCACGAAUUGCGCACUCUUUCACUGUUUAGUCCUACCUAGUUUUAAUUUUAUUCACUUUUUGCAUCACUUACCCUUAUGGUUACGUCACCUCACGGUGACGGCCAGCAUGCUUCGACCUUUUCAGGUCGGGGUGUGUC
rnacentral:sRNA from 1 species